UACGGGGGGGGGGUAAGCGUUGUUCGGAAUUACUGGGCGUAAAGGGCUCGUAGGCGGCCAACUAAGUCGGACGUGAAAUCCCUCAGCUUAACUGGGGAACUGCGUCCGAUACUGGAUGGCUUGGAUUUGGGAGAGGGAUGCGGAAUUCCAGGUGUAGCGGUGAAAUGCGUAGAUAUCUGGAGGAACACCGGUGGCGAAGGCGGCAUCCUGGACCGGCAUUGACGCUGAGGCGCGAAAGCCAGGGGAGCAAAGCGGG
rnacentral:rRNA from 1 species